rnacentral:miRNA from 1 species
UGGGUUGGCCUGAAAGUUUGUUUGGGAUUUUCUAUAACAGCUUACAAAAAAAACAGAACAAAUUUUUUGGCCAGCUCA